rnacentral:tRNA from 1 species
GUAGCUCAGUUGGGAGAGCGCCGCAAUCGCACUGCGGAGGUCGAGGGUUCGACUCCCUUC